UUUUUCCCAUUGUUGGGAGAGCACGUGCGGCUGUUUGCGCACGGAGAAGCAUUGUGCCGAAAUUGACGGGACGCCAUUUUGAAAGAUGCAGACGAAAAUUGCUGCCGAAGUUUGUUCUUGAAGACUUUUGAAUGACUCCUUCAGCUUCCUCAAUUUUCCAAGGAGAACGAUAACGUGAAAGUGGUGGGAAUCCGAGAAAUGAAAAUGUUCACCAAUAUUUUCUUGGUACGUUAAAAAUCUGUAGACCUGCAUAUUGCCUACUGAUGUAGUUUCCCCAAGUUCCGUGGGACCUCCAACUGCAGAGAGCCCUACUAUAGCUGCUGUCUGCAUCUUGCCUAUACUGAUAAUGCCUCCAACGUUCCAUGGUUUUGGACCUCGAACUACACAAAGCAGCACUGUAGCAGUGUUUGUUUCCUCCCAACAUGUGCUGAGAUUGUGCAACUUCUGCACGAGAUGCUAAGGCCAGGAAGCUAUACAGACGCUACUCUCGAUGUCUGGAUCUGAUGCCAACCUGUCGGACUCUCCUCAUGAAGAUUGGAUGGAGUCGUCUUAGGGAAAGGGCAAAUCCAUGGCAGAAACACAUUAUUGGCUUGAAUUAAUGCCAUCUCAAACCUGAAAAUAUUGGUUGAUAAAGCAUUCUGAAGUACCGAUAAGUUUGAAAGUCUUCGUAGUUUAAAAGGAAGAAAUCUUGGAAUUGGUAUUGCAGGAUUCUGCAAGGUGCUUUAUCUGGCAUCAACAAUCUCAAACAAGUGAAACUCUUUGCUAUGGAUUUGCCCUGUGAACUCAAAUAUUAAAUUCUAGAACCAGGCACAUGUCAGAUUUAGAAAAGCCAUUAAAUUACAUGUCAUAUUAAAUAAAAAUAAAGGUUUCAUCUCAAAUGUGCUCAAGAUUUGUAGCACUUAUGAAAGGCUUUUGCCAAAACCACAUGUGUACUCAAAGUUUUAUAAAACAAAUUCACAAUUUGAACUUAGUCGUUUAGAAAAAAGUUAUGUUAUUAAAAAUGGUUUCAAGCUGAAUGCAAAGUCAAUUCUUAGCAAGAUUUUGAGUUGAAACAAAAUAAUUCAGUCUUUGUGGUUUGUUGUGAAACCUUCUUAGGUUGGAAAUUCAAACAGCCAGUCGAUAAAAUGUCCUUCGAAUCGGAAAAUAAAUUGGUCACAAAUGAUUUGUUGGUUCUUUAAUUUUAGAUUCCAGUUUCACUAAGUUCUUUGUUUUGGCUAAUGUUGACAUGUGCCUGGUUCAUUUGGUUCUAGAGACAAAUAACUACAGUACUUAGCACAUCAUAGGAAUGAUUCAGUCAGUUGUAUUCUAUAUGAUGGAAAAUAGCUGAAAUUAGCCAGUAUCCUUGCAGUUGUGUGUAAUAUGCAGUAAUUUCCAAUACUGCUUUAAAAAAACGAACUAUGUGAAUGUGAUUACAUGUGUAAUCACAGAAUUUAUAAUAUCAGGUUUUUUAAAUAGUUCUCUGCCCAUGCUGUUUUAGAGUUUCAGUCUAAAAAUAGAGCUUGUUUGUAAAUUGCUAUAUUUCUAGCAGUACAGCUAUUCAACUUUAAAUGGGACAAGAAAAAAACAUACCCAAAGUUUAGUUUUGGCUUUUUUACUUUACAAAUUUCCAAUUGUUCGCAGCCCGACAGACGGACAUCAUUCAGGGGUAUCUUUCUGUUACGGAUGAAGUAACGCCCAAAAUUAAAGCAUAUUUUCAGAAGUUUAAAAUGUCUGAAAUUGAAAAAAGGUACAUUUUCUGUUUAAAUAAAACUAACACAUUGAAAUUUAAUUCACUGAAAACAAAUUAGCUGUUGAAGAGCAUGGGUAGAGCAACUUUAAAUCCCAAGUAAUUCAAAUUGUUUUAUUUGUUACAAAGUGAGUACAUCCUGAUCCAAAUAUUUAGAAAGUGUGGCGAUACUGGCUGAUAAAUUACAGAGAAUCAUUCCUAUGAUGUGCUUUAUAUGUAUUUUGUUUAUUUUUGAAUGAAUAAAACAAAUGUUUGUUGUCUUUUUGUGGAGUGUAUUUAUUUUAGAAGUAUGUGUCUUAAUUAGCCGACUUUUUGCAGCAAAGUUUAAUGUGAUUAACAGGCACAGUUCCCAAAACAAACACAAUCUCCAAAUUCAUCAAAGUCGAUGUUAUAAAUUAUCUAAAUCAAAACUGUUUAAUUUAUUGCGAAUACACAUGUAUUUGUGGGAAAAGUACUGCAUUUUAGGUACGCGGGGAUUAAGUUCUGCCACUAUUGGAACAUGUGCCUGUUUUAAGUGUUAAACUUUGCUGCAUUAUCUCUUCUAACACUAAUUUCAACUUUAAGGCUACAACAAUGAGGGCGCUCUUAUAUAAGAAACUAACAGUUAUACUUUUUUUUUAAGAUUGAGGGCGCUCUUUAGUAAAUAAACCUAAAAUCCCUUAAGUUUAAUAAGAUAGAGGGCGCUCUUUUGUAAAUUAAACCAAAAAAUUGUUUGAAUU
rnacentral:lncRNA from 1 species